GACGAACGCUGGCGGCGUGCUUAACACAUGCAAGUCGAACGGAAAGGCCCUGCUUUUGUGGGGUGCUCGAGUGGCGAACGGGUGAGUAACACGUGAGUAACCUGCCCUUGACUUUGGGAUAACUUCAGGAAACUGGGGCUAAUACCGGAUAGGAGCUCCUGCUGCAUGGUGGGGGUUGGAAAGUUUCGGCGGUUGGGGAUGGACUCGCGGCUUAUCAGCUUGUUGGUGGGGUAGUGGCUUACCAAGGCUUUGACGGGUAGCCGGCCUGAGAGGGUGACCGGCCACAUUGGGACUGGGAUACGGCCCAGACUCCUACGGGAGGCAGCAGUGGGGAAUAUUGCACAAUGGGCGGAAGCCUGAUGCAGCAACGCCGCGUGCGGGAUGACGGCCUUCGGGUUGUAAACCGCUUUCGCCUGUGACGAAGCGUGAGUGACGGUAAUGGGUAAAGAAGCACCGGCUAACGACG
rnacentral:rRNA from 1 species